rnacentral:rRNA from 1 species
GACGAACGCUGGCGGCGUGCUUAACACAUGCAAGUCGAACGAUGAAGCCGGAGCUUGCUCUGGUGAAUUAGUGGCGAACGGGUGAGCAACACGUGAGUAACCUGCCCUUGACUCUGGGAUAACUGCGGGAAACUGUAGCUAAUACCGGAUACGACCCUCGGAGGCAUCUCCUGGGGGUGGAAAGAAUUUCGGUCAAGGAUGGACUCGCGGCCUAUCAGCUAGUUGGUGAGGUAAAGGCUCACCAAGGCGACGACGGGUAGCCGGCCUGAGAGGGUGACCGGCCACACUGGGACUGAGACACGGCCCAGACUCCUACGGGAGGUAGCAGUGGGGAAUAUUGCACAAUGGGCGCAAGCCUGAUGCAGCAACGCCGCGUGAGGGAUGACGGCCUUCGGGUUGUAAACCUCUUUUAGCAGGGAAGAAGCGAAAGUGACGGUACCUGCAGAAAAAGCACCGGCUAACUACGUGCCAGCCGCCGCGGUAA